rnacentral:lncRNA from 1 species
AUUUGCAAAAAUAUCCAAUUUUGGGCAAUAUAUUGGUGGUAUGGUCUCCUGACAUCAACUCUUACCCAUAUUGUUUGUCAACAGAUCUGCUAUCCUUAAUCGCUCAACCUGAGGCAAAACAAUCAAUACAUUGCAGAAGUUUUGGUUCAUUUCAGCCUUGGAAAUAUUUAAAGUAAGACCUGUACUACUACCACAUCAAAGAUUUAGUUGUUCCUUUGUAAUGACAUUAUUUUUUGACAGCACACAUACUCCAUUCCUGAUUCACUUGAUAUUCCUAAUUUUUUUUAAAAAAUCUUUCUCGGUGUUGUUUGAGUUCCAUUCUGAACUACAGUUUCUUGGAGCUGAUUCGGAGUCUGCUGGUUUUUUAAUUGCUUAGGUUUGGAUAUCACCAAAGAUCACAUACUGCCAUACUGGAGAUUGCUUGACAACGUUCGUUGCAGCAGUUUGAGAAGUGAUUUUCCACGCACGCAUAACGAGGAAGUGUUUCGGGUUCUGAUGUUGUGCAGUUAUGUACAAUAGUAACGAGAAGAUGUUGUGCAGUUAUGUCUUGGAAAGUAAACAACUUUCUCCUCAUUAUGAGAAAAUAAAUAUUGUUUACAGUGCUGGAUCACUGAACUUCAACAAACCAUUUUUAUGUGAUCAUUGAUUCAGAAAAACAAAUGAGUUUGAAUGAAUAUUUUUCACUUCAAUUGAUCACUACUUUCUCAAAAAAGAAGUGAGGUAAUGACUCCAGUUUUUAGUUCUGUGUUUAGAAUGUAUGUCACCUAGGAAUUAUUUGAGGGACAAUAUUUUGUCAAGCUUAAAGAUUGCAAGGGCUAUGGUGCUUUAAGGUGCUGAGAUAUUGCACACCCCAUGAUAAUUUGCCUCGACUUCCAUGAACACCGGGAGUGUGUCUGUGUCAUGCAAGGCCAUGUUGGCGCUAGCUUGGUACUGUUUUUUUUUCUGCAAACCAUUUGAGAAUAAAUUGUUUGAAAUGAUCUUAUUCCAAAGGAUCCAAGGUGGCAUUAGAGAAGCAUCCUUUUUAAUUUCCAUGCUGAGAAUUUUUCUUUUCAUCACAAUUGAUACAUAUUACCUUGCAAAAUAACAUUUUAUCUUGCACUUUAAGGUUGGUGAGAAUAUGGCAAAUCUUUUCACUUAUAGCUAUUUUCACUCAAUUGCCAGCUACCAGCUACCAGAGCAUCACCAACCUCCAAGUGAAGAAUAGACAAAUUACAUGGCAAUUGUUCCACUUUGUUAAAUAUUAGUGACACAUGUUGCAAGAUCUUAAGUUAUUUUAUUUAUUGAACCUCCUAGGUGUUACCACAAUAUAUAUUGAUGUAUUUUCAUUAAGAACAAUGUAAAGAUAUUGUUCAUCUAAUGUAAAGAUAUUGAUGUGGUUCUGCUCAGUGAAUUUCUGAUUUUUACAUUAAUUUUUAUUUUGUAUGGAAAUAAAAAUGAGGUUUCACUGCAAUCAUUUAUUUCUUUCCAUAUUGUCCUCUGGUUGCAUGCUGAGAAGUUGUGUUUAUUUUCCAUUUUUUAACUUCAAAGGAAAAUACAGUGGAGCUUGAUUUCUGUCUAAAAUAGGAAUGGCUUGUCUUGUGUGCGUAUUUAGUACCCACUACAAAAUGUAAUACAUAAUAUUUUGCCGAAAAAAAUUCAGUGCUAACGUAAACUUUUUAACUAUCUGUUCCAUUGCUGAAAGUACCAAUGUUUUGGGUGUUUUAUUUGCAAUAUCAAUUUUUAUCGUAGCAUUAGCACGGGCAUAUUACUAGUUUCAAUUUAUUACUAGUUUCAUAUGAAUUGGUUUAAUUCCAUUAGACCAGUAGAAACUCCCACAUUCUAG